CGUGGGGAGCAGACAGGAAUUAGAUACCCUGGUAGUCCACGCUUGUAAACGAUGUCGACUUGGAGGUUGUGCCCUUGAGGCGUGGCUUCCGGAGCUAACGCGUUAAGUCGACCGCCUGGGGAGUACGGCCGCAAGGUUAAAACUCAAAUGAAUUGACGGGGGCCCGCACAAGCGGUGGAGCAUGUGGUUUAAUUCGAUGCAACGCGAAGAACCUUACCUACUCUUGACAUCCAGAGAAUUCGCUAGAGAUAGCUUAGUGCCUUCGGGAACUCUGAGACAGGUGCUGCAUGGCUGUCGUCAGCUCGUGUUGUGAAAUGUUGGGUUAAGUCCCGCAACGAGCGCAACCCUUAUCCUUUGUUGCCAGCGAGUCAUGUCGGGAACUCAAAGGAGACUGCCGGUGAUAAACCGGAGGAAGGUGGGGAUGACGUCAAGUCAUCAUGGCCCUUACGAGUAGGGCUACACACGUGCUACAAUGGCAUAUACAAAGAGAAGCGAACUCGCGAGAGCAAGCGGACCUCAUAAAGUAUGUCGUAGUCCGGAUUGGAGUCUGCAACUCGACUCCCUGAAGUUCGGGAAUCGCUAGUAAUCGUAGAUCAGAAUGCUACGGUGAAUACGUUCCCGGGCCUUGUACACACCGCCCGUCACACCAUGGGAGUGGGUUGCAAAAGAAGUAGGUAGCUUAACCUUCGGGAGGGCGCUUACCACUUUGUGAUUCAUGACUGGGGUGAAGUCGUAACAAGGUAACCGUAA
rnacentral:rRNA from 1 species